UGGGGAAUUUUGGACAAUGGGCGAAAGCCUGAUCCAGCAAUGCCGCGUGAGUGAAGAAGGCCUUCGGGUUGUAAAGCNCUUUUGUCAGGGAAGAAACGGUGAAAGCUAAUAUCUUUUGCUAACGACGGUACCUGAAGAAUAAGCACCGGCUAACUACGUGCCAGCAGCCGCGGUAAUACGUAGGGUGCAAGCGUUAAUCGGAAUUACUGGGCGUAAAGCGUGCGCAGGCGGUUUUGUAAGUCUGAUGUGAAAAUCCCCGGGCUCAACCUGGGAAUUGCAUUGGAGACUGCAAGGCUAGAAAUCUGGCAGAGGGGGGUAGAAUUCCACGUGUAGCAGUGAAAUGCGUAGAUAUGUGGAGGAACACCGAUGGCGAAGGCAGCCCCCUGGUCAAGAUUGACGCUCAUGCACGAAAGCGUGGGGAGCAAACAGGAUUAGAUACCCUGGUAGUCCACGCCCUAAACGAUGUCUACUAGUUGUCGGGUCUUAAUUGACUUGGUAACGCAGCUAACGCGUGAAGUAGACCGCCUGGGGGA
rnacentral:rRNA from 1 species